UGGAGUAAGGCCAAGUGGUAAGGCAUCAAUUUUUGGUAUCGGCAUGCAAAGGUUCGAAUCCUUUUACUCUAG
rfam:Triticum aestivum genome assembly, contig: Triticum_aestivum_CS42_TGACv1_scaffold_157947_2DL